AGUGAACGCUGGCGGCGUGCCUAAUACAUGCAAGUCGAACGGAGUGGCGCACGGGUGAGUAAUAUAUAGCUAAUCUGCCCCUUGCUGGAGGACAACAGUUAGAAAUGACUGCUAAUACUCCAUAGCAAGGGAUGAGACUAUAUCGUAUCAGCUAGUCGGUGGGGUAACGGCCUACCGAGGCUAUGACGCGUAACUGGUCUGAGAGGAUGAUCAUUCACGUUGGAACUGAGACACGGUCCACACUCCUACGGGAGCGCGAAGUGGGGAAUCAUGCGCAAUGGGAGAAACCCUGACGCAGUAACGCUGCGUGGGGGAUUACACUUUUCGGAGCGUAAACUCCUUUUGUUAGGGAAGCGGUACCUACCGAAUAAGCCCCGGCUAUCUCCGUGCCAGCCGCCGCGGUAAUUC
rnacentral:rRNA from 1 species